GCCAUGUGGGCGGGAGGCAGAGGGCAGAGUGACGCUGCUGUGCCCGAGGAAAGCCUGGGGCCACAGGAGCUGGAGAGACCGUGAGCCCCAGAGACCUCGGAGGGCUCGGUCCGCCAACGCCCCGACGCCAGCCUUCCAGCCUCCGGAGCCGAGACAGGCUUCCUGUUGCCAUCAGGCCCCAGCUCGUGCCUCUAGGUCCCGCCAGCCCCAGGAGAGGAAAACAACCGAACAGAGCUGUAUCUGCACAGGCCGAUCUUAGCGAGCACGGUGCCCAGGCACACGGCGAGGAACCAGGCUGCCCGAGAUAAGACAGGGACGUUCAUAAGGUAUUUGACAGGGACCGCGGUCAAUGCUGCAGCCAUCACACGCCAGCGUACGCUAAGGACCAGACGGGACAAGCCGGUGCUGUCAAAAUGUACAGCACGAACGUGCCCCUGAGUCCGCAGGCGGUGCUGCCACCAUCCCGACCCGAUCCGGCCGAGGACCACAGAGAGGCUGGGCGCUAAGAGCGCAGCCCUGACAGAGCCUCGCUGGACGCCCGGCUGCGGAAGACG